rnacentral:lncRNA from 1 species
UCAAGGUGUUCACUGACAUUUCCUAUCACGCAGAUUGUCAAGAUCUCAGAGAAAAGCCACAAAUGAAUUAGGCAGAGUCUCAGUCAGCAUACAAGCCAUGUAAGACCACUUUAUUACCUAGUGGAGAAACUAUCUUCCACGUAUAAUGACUAUACAGAGCCUUUAGGUCUCAUUUAAGGCUUAGAAACCCUCAGUCUGUGUUGAAGAGGAACCUCACCUAAACAUUGAAUGCAAACAGGCCCUGGAAAAACAACUCAUAAAUGUACCAAGAUGGCAAAUCUUUACUAUGCACUCAGUCCUCUGUACACAUCAGGUAAGGCACAGAAGCAUAAUGACUUUGGCCAAGCCUGUCUUCAGUGCUCAUGUCUCAGUGGACAUCAGUUGAUUCGCACUGGAGAGAAACCGUGGAAAUGUCUGCAGGUGCCAAGCUCUUCUGGCACAGUUCACAGCUUGCACAACAUGUGAGAAGACAUCCUAGGGGUAGAGCUUGAAUGCAGCGAGUAUGGCACCCCCUGCAUUAUGAAUUCAAGCAGUGGUCAGAGUCCAUACUAAAGAGCAACAUCCAUCACCAUCACAGCACAUAGGACAGACUUUCAUGCCUCAGAACCACUGGGCAUCAAAGAGACACCUUUGAGGAAGCUGUGCAAAAGUCAUGCCCUGAUCUUAAAUCUAAGCUUUAAAAUCUGGAACAGUACAUGACCCAGAGAAUAGCAUCCAGUUGUAAGGAAUGUGCUGUUUUUUUUUUUUUUUUCCAAACAUUUGUGAUUUUGUUGUCCUGAGAGGAUUUAUUCUGGCAAAAUCAGAYAUUGUGACCCUGGAUAGUGCUUUCAUCAAGGGAGUGUCCUCAGGAUUCACCAGUGAGUCCAUAGGCUACCAAGGACUCUUAACAAAUGUACUGUGUUACCUUAUUUCACCAAUUCUCACACAAUCCUCUAUGUCAGAAAAUUUAUAGGAAGGAUAAAUAAGUCUCUGAUUAUCAAAGAUUAGCUUCUGGCCUCGCAUACUUUGGUAAAAUUACAUAAUGUUUUAUAACUAAGGAGAUGUCAAAGGUGCAGGGACAUUUGAAAAGGCCCAGUUAUCUUCAUGUUUUAAAGUGUCUCAUUCUUCGAGAUUUCUUAGAAAGUACCCUGCUUAUCUUGGGUUCUGUGCCUUCCUUACGGGUCUUUCACGGCUGUGUCCAGAAAGGAACCCAUAGGAGUAAAGGUCUUACUUUGUGAAACGAAGAUCCCUGUUGUCCUUGCUCCUGGAGUAGGAGGACACUGCCUAUUAAAAUUCAGUAUUGCCUGCACCAAGAAAUAUUUCAAAGGGACUGAUCAGGAUGUAGAAUUGAGAUAUCCNCCCCUGUAUGUAAUCUGAUUCCGUUCUCUUGUGGCUUUUAAAAUUCUCUCCUUAUUCUGCAUG